GACUUGUAGCUCAGUUGGUUGCACCUUGCUAAGCCCGCAGGAGUUAGUAAGGCUUGGCAACAGACUCAUAAUCUGGAGGUCCUAGGUUCAAGCCCUAGCUGGUCCA
rnacentral:tRNA from 1 species